AGAUUGAACGCUGGCGGCGUGCCUAACACAUGCAAGUCGAGCGGUAACAGGUGUAGCAAUACAUGCUGACGAGCGGCGGACGGGUGAGUAACGCUUGGGAAUCUGCCUGUUAGUGGGGGACAACCCGGGGAAACUCGGGCUAAUACCGCAUACGACCUACGGGUGAAAGCGGGGGAUCGCAAGACCUCGCGCUAAAUGAUGAGCCAAAGUCGGAUUAGCUAGUUGGUGAGGUAAAGGCUCACCAAGGCGACGAUCCGUAGCUGGUCUGAGAGGAUGAUCAGCCACACUGGGACUGAGACACGGCCCAGACUCCUACGGGAGGCAGCAGUGGGGAAUCUUGCGCAAUGGGCGAAAGUCUGACGCGGCCAUGCCGCGUGAAUGAUGAAGGUCUUAGGAUUGUAAAAAUUCUUUCACCGGGGAAGAUAAUGACGGUACCCGGAGAAGAAGCCCCGGCUAACUUCGUGCCAGCAGCCGC
rnacentral:rRNA from 1 species